rnacentral:rRNA from 2 species
UUAAGCGACUAAGCGUACACGGUGGAUGCCCUGGCAGUCAGAGGCGAUGAAGGACGUGCUAAUCUGCGAAAAGCGUCGGUAAGGUGAUAUGAACCGUUAUAGCCGGCGAUGUCCGAAUGGGGAAACCCAGUGCAAUUCGUUGCACUAUCGUUAACUGAAUACAUAGGUUAACGAGGCGAACCGGGGGAACUGAAACAUCUAAGUACCCCGAGGAAAAGAAAUCAACCGAGAUUCCCCCAGUAGCGGCGAGCGAACGGGGAGCAGCCCGGAGUCUGAAUCAGCUUGUGUGUUAGUGGAAGCGUCUGGAAAGUCGCAGGGUACAGGGUGAUACUCCCGUACACUAAAACACACAGGUUGUGAACUCGAAGAGUAGGGCGGGACACGUGGUAUCCUGUCUGAAUAUGGGGGGACCAUCCUCCAAGGCUAAAUACUCCUGACUGACCGAUAGUGAACCAGUACCGUGAGGGAAAGGCGAAAAGAACCCCGGCGAGGGGAGUGAAAAAGAACCUGAAACCGUGUACGUACAAGCAGUAGGAGCCCACUAGUUGGGUGACUGCGUACCUUUUGUAUAAUGGGUCAGCGACUUAUAUUCUGUAGCAAGGUUAACCGUAUAGGGGAGCCGCAGGGAAACCGAGUCUUAACUGGGCGUUAAGUUGCAGGGUAUAGACCCGAAACCCGGUGAUCUAGCCAUGGGCAGGUUGAAGGUUGGGUAACACUAACUGGAGGACCGAACCGACUAAUGUUGAAAAAUUAGCGGAUGACUUGUGGCUGGGGGUGAAAGGCCAAUCAAACCGGGAGAUAGCUGGUUCUCCCCGAAAGCUAUUUAGGUAGCGCCUCGUGAACUCAUCUUCGGGGGUAGAGCACUGUUUCGGCUAGGGGGUCAUCCCGACUUACCAACCCGAUGCAAACUACGAAUACCGAAGAAUGUUAUCACGGGAGACACACGGCGGGUGCUAACGUCCGUCGUGAAGAGGGAAACAACCCAGACCGCCAGCUAAGGUCCCAAAGUCAUGGUUAAGUGGGAAACGAUGUGGGAAGGCCCAGACAGCCAGGAUGUUGGCUUAGAAGCAGCCAUCAUUUAAAGAAAGCGUAAUAGCUCACUGGUCGAGUCGGCCUGCGCGGAAGAUGUAACGGGGCUAAACCAUGCACCGAAGCUGCGGCAGCGACGCUUAUGCGUUGUUGGGUAGGGGAGCGUUCUGUAAGCCGUUGAAGGUGGCCUGUGAGGGUUGCUGGAGGUAUCAGAAGUGCGAAUGCUGACAUAAGUAACGAUAAUGCGGGUGAAAAACCCGCACGCCGGAAGACCAAGGGUUCCUGUCCAACGUUAAUCGGGGCAGGGUGAGUCGACCCCUAAGGCGAGGCCGAAAGGCGUAGUCGAUGGGAAACAGGUUAAUAUUCCUGUACUCGGUGUUACUGCGAAGGGGGGACGGAGAAGGCUAUGUUGGCCGGGCGACGGUUGUCCCGGUUUAAGCAUGUAGGCGGAUGUUCCAGGUAAAUCCGGAACGUUAUUAACGCUGAGGUGUGAUGACGAGGCACUACGGUGCUGAAGUGACAAAUGCCCUGCUUCCAGGAAAAGCCUCUAAGCAUCAGGUAACAUCAAAUCGUACCCCAAACCGACACAGGUGGUCAGGUAGAGAAUACCAAGGCGCUUGAGAGAACUCGGGUGAAGGAACUAGGCAAAAUGGUGCCGUAACUUCGGGAGAAGGCACGCUGAUGGUAAGUGAAGUGACUUGCUCAUGGAGCUGAAAUCAGUCGAAGAUACCAGCUGGCUGCAACUGUUUAUUAAAAACACAGCACUGUGCAAACACGAAAGUGGACGUAUACGGUGUGACGCCUGCCCGGUGCCGGAAGGUUAAUUGAUGGGGUUAUCCGUAAGGAGAAGCUCUUGAUCGAAGCCCCGGUAAACGGCGGCCGUAACUAUAACGGUCCUAAGGUAGCGAAAUUCCUUGUCGGGUAAGUUCCGACCUGCACGAAUGGCGUAAUGAUGGCCAGGCUGUCUCCACCCGAGACUCAGUGAAAUUGAACUCGCUGUGAAGAUGCAGUGUACCCGCGGCAAGACGGAAAGACCCCGUGAACCUUUACUAUAGCUUGACACUGAACACUGGUCCUUGAUGUGUAGGAUAGGUGGGAGGCUUUGAAGUGUGGACGCCAGUCUGCAUGGAGCCAUCCUUGAAAUACCACCCUUUAAUGGCUGGUGUUCUAACGUGGGCCCGUAAUCCGGGUUGCGGACAGUGUCUGGUGGGUAGUUUGACUGGGGCGGUCUCCUCCUAAAGAGUAACGGAGGAGCACGAAGGUCAGCUAAUCCUGGUCGGACAUCAGGAGGUUAGUGCAAUGGCAUAAGCUGGCUUGACUGCGAGCGUGACGGCGCGAGCAGGUGCGAAAGCAGGUCAUAGUGAUCCGGUGGUUCUGAAUGGAAGGGCCAUCGCUCAACGGAUAAAAGGUACUCCGGGGAUAACAGGCUGAUACCGCCCAAGAGUUCAUAUCGACGGCGGUGUUUGGCACCUCGAUGUCGGCUCAUCACAUCCUGGGGCUGAAGUAGGUCCCAAGGGUAUGGCUGUUCGCCAUUUAAAGUGGUACGCGAGCUGGGUUUAGAACGUCGUGAGACAGUUCGGUCCCUAUCUGCCGUGGGCGCUGGAGAAUUGAGGGGGCUGCUCCUAGUACGAGAGGACCGGAGUGGACGCAUCACUGGUGUUCGGGUUGUCAUGCCAAUGGCAUUGCCCGGUAGCUAAAUGCGGAAGAGAUAAGUGCUGAAAGCAUCUAAGCACGAAACUUGCCCCGAGAUGAGUUCUCCCUGACUCCUUGAGAGUCCUGAAGGAACGUUGAAGACGACGACGUUGAUAGGCCGGGUGUGUAAGCGCAGCGAUGCGUUGAGCUAACCGGUACUAAUGAACCGUGAGGCUUAACCUU